UACGGGGGGGGGCAAGCGUUGUUCGGAAUUACUGGGCGUAAAGGGCUCGUAGGCGGCCAACUAAGUCGGGACGUGAAAUCCCUCGGCUUAACCGGGGAACUGCGUCCGAUACUGGAUGGCUUGAGUUUGGGAGAGGGAUGCGGAAUUCCAGGUGUAGCGGUGAAAUGCGUAGAUAUCUGGAGGAACACCGGUGGCGAAGGCGGCAUCCUGGACCAACACUGACGCUGAUGAGCGAAAGCCAGGGGAGCAACGGG
rnacentral:rRNA from 1 species